rnacentral:rRNA from 1 species
AACGCGAAGAACCUUACCUACCCUUGACAUCCCACGGAGGCUGCAGAGAUGUGGCUGUGCCGAAAGGAACGUGGAGACAGGUGCUGCAUGGCUGUCGUCAGCUCGUGUUGUGAGAUGUUGGGUUAAGUCCCGUAACGAGCGCAACCCUUAUCCUUAGUUACCAACAUGUAAUGGUGGGGACUCUAAGGAGACUGCUGGUGAAGAACCGGAGGAAGGCGGGGACGACGUCAAGUCAUCAUGGCCUUUAUGGGUAGGGCUACACACGUGCUACAAUGGGGCGCACAGAGGGAAGCCAACUCGCGAGAGGGAGCCGAUCCCUGAAAGCGCUUCGUAGUCCGGAUUGGAGUCUGCAACUCGACUCCAUGAAGAUGGAAUCGCUAGUAAUCGCGAAUCAGAAUGUCGCGGUGAAUACGUUCCCGGGCCUUGUACACACCGCAUAC